CCAUAAUCUUCUAUUCGCUUCGGUGCCUUCAACUAGAAAAACACCCGGAUUGGGUUACUGAUUUUGGAAGGAAAAGUUUCUUGCUGGUUUUGCCUUUUGACUUGCAGGAAAUUAAUCCAUUUGGGAAAAGUAAAAAGUUUGAUUAUCAAUGAAAUUUGGUUUUUCUGUUUCUUUUAAGAAAUUCUCCUGUUGUGGGAUCGAGUUCAAAUUCCCUGUUAGUCUCCAAAGUGGUAAGGUAGCAUGGAGGAGUAGUCAAAUUGGGUGAAGUAGACUGCCAAAAGUUGAAUCCGUCAGUAGUCUGUAACAAGAAGCCAUCGUGUUCAUCCAUGAGACUGAAAUCAAUAGUGUCAUCGGAUGCACCAUCUUCCAUGAUGAAUAAUAAGAAUAAUUGUCAAAUCUCCAUUCCGUAAAGCCUAGAAUAAAUGCAGACAACAAAAUCACGAUCCAAAACACAGAAGCAGCAUAAAUAUGAAAGACAAGAAGAGGAACUUCCAGGAAGGAUUCCUUUCCGUUGUCUUCCAAAACCCAGUUAGCCCUGGAGGUAGUAUAAACAUCGUCUAUUAAAAGUUCUUUGCAACUGCAAUCACAAAUGCAUUUCAGAGGCCAGAAAUCAAACGCACAGACGAUAAGAUUAGCAGGAAAAUCUAAAAAGUAUUUCGGGAUUCUGGGGGGAGUAAACCCAACAAAAGUUCAAACAAAAAACAAAUACAAUUACGAAUUGUUUCAACAAUAGCAGAAGAAAAGAAAAAGGGUCACAAAAGACGAAAUUAUAAUUGAAAACAGAGGUGAAAAAGGCAAAGCCACUCACUAUAUGUACAAUCUUACUGAAUCCUUAUGAACAGUAGAGUGAGUGAUUCAUAAAUAUGAUGACUACUGGUAAAUUGUUCCCUUCCGGUCUCAGAAUUGAGUCAAAUCUCACACACAAAUCAACAGAAGAUAAAUUUGUGAAACAAAUUUGGAAUGUUUCAAUUAUUUGCCUGUUGGCCGUUGUUUUUCAGGUAUUUUGUGCAAAUAAUGGGCGAGGAAUGAGAAAAGCGGGCAGAGGAAAUACUGUUGCUCCAUCAUGGAUGGGACCUACGGAAAGGACAGGUGAGAGAAUCAAAAACGAAAAUAGAUGUAGUUGAAAAGGAACAGCAGCUCAAUUUCCAUGUCAUAAAAUUCAGGAAUCAGGCAAAAUCAUGUUUUGAUUUCGUGUUUAUUAACUUAUUUACUCCGUGUGAAAAAGAUUCCUUCUAUCUUUUUCAGAGCAUUGAGGAUUUGUCCUACGUCUCGUCUGCAACUUCCUCUGAGGCGAUAUGCAGGAUUAUCACAUCUCUUCUUCGAGACAAUCACAUGACUCUGAAUCCUUAGCCACCCAACGCGGGACUUCUGAGUCCGAGGCAAUUGAGAUCCAAUAUGUUAUGCCUCGUGCAAGGAAUGAUUUUGUUAUAUGAAGCUACG
rnacentral:lncRNA from 1 species